GGGUUCGUAGCUCAGCCAGGUAGAGCGUCUGGCUCUUAACCAGAUCAAAAGAGGUUAAAAUGUCGUGGGUCCGAAUCCCACCGAACCCGCUA
rnacentral:tRNA from 1 species